UACGGAGGGUGCGAGCGUUAUCCGGAAUUACUGGGUUUAAAGGGUGCGUAGGCGGCGCAGUAAGUCAGGAGUGAAAGUUUGCGGCUCAACCGUAAAAUUGCUUUUGAUACUGCUGUGCUAGAAUUAGGAUGAGGUUAGCGGAAUGUGGCAUGUAGCGGUGAAAUGCAUAGAUAUGCCAUAGAACACCAAUUGCGAAGGCAGCUGGCUAGACCUAUAUUGACGCUGAGGCACGAAAGCGUGGGGAGCGAACAGG
rnacentral:rRNA from 1 species